UCGGCAUCAUACAACCACCUGAAAAUAAUCAAACGUCAAUAUUUCUGGAAAACAAUUCGACUGAAGUUAUUAGAUUUCAGCAAAAACAAAAUUGAAAUGAUAGAGGACGGUGCUUUUGAAAAGCUUCCAAAUCUUCAGAAUUUACGUCUAAACAGUAAUAAGAUUAGAGCGAUAAGCAAUGACACUUUCCGCAUGGUUUCAGGAUUGGAAAAAUU